AUUGAACGCUGGCGGCAUGCCUUACACAUGCGAGCCGAACGGCAGCACGGGUGCUUGCACCUGGUGGCGAGUGGCGAACGGGUGAGUAAUACAUCGGCACGUACCUUAUCGUGGGGGAUAACGCAGCGAAAGCUGUGCUAAUACCGCAUACGCCCUGAGGGGGAAAGCGGGGGAUCGAAAGACCUCGCGCGAUUAGAGCGGCCGAUGCCUGAUUAGCUUGUUGGUGGGGUAAAAGCCCACCAAGGCGACGAUCAGUAGCUGGUCUGAGAGGACGAUCAGCCACACUGGGACUGAGACACGGCCCAGACUCCUACGGGAGGCAGCAGUGGGGAAUUUUGGACAAUGGGGGCAACCCUGAUCCAGCAAUGCCGCGUGAGUGAAGAAGGCCUUCGGGUUGUAAAGCUCUUUUGUCAGGGAAGAAACACCGGCUCUAACACAGCCCGAGAAUGACGGUACCUGAAGAAUAAGCACCGGCUAACUACGUGCCAGCCGCCGCCGUAA
rnacentral:rRNA from 1 species